GGUGGGGUGGCAGAGUGGUUGAAUGCACAGGUCUUGAAAACCUGCGUGGCGGAAACGUCAUCGCGAGUUCGAAUCUCGCCCCCACCGCCA
rnacentral:tRNA from 6 species